rnacentral:rRNA from 1 species
UACAUGGGGUGCAAACGUUGCUCGGAAUUACUGGGGCGUAAAGGGCUUGUAGGUGGCCAACUAAGUCAGACGUGAAAUCCCCUCGGCUUAAACCGGGGAACUGCGUCUGAUACUGGAUGGCUUGAGUGUGGGAGAGGGAUGCGGAAUUCAGGUGUAGCGGUGAAAAUGCGUAGAUAUCGAGAGGAACACCUGCGGCGAAGGCGGGUUGCUGGGGCCGACACUGACGCUGAGGCGCGAAAAGCCAGGGGAGGCGAAACGGG